AUGGCGCUCCCUGGGCUUGCUUUUUCUAAUUCUCAGGUCGUCAUGUUGGCAGCAUGCACGGGUCCGCCGGUAACAGCCGGACGACCUUCAAGGGCACGCUUCAUGUAUUCCUUGACGUCGGUGAACCGUAAGCUCAUCGUAAGCUCGUCCUCUAUCAAUAAUCCCUACACGGCAGCUGGCGGCAUGCAACAAGUGGCAGCAGGGGAAGACGAGCAUGAGCUAAAGCUCCUAGGGACAUGGAGGGGCCCUUUCGCGAUGCGAGUGAGGCUGGCGCUCAACUUCAAGGGCCUAAGCUACGAGUACUAG
rnacentral:rRNA from 1 species